UACAGAGGGUGCUAGCGUUGUUCGGAAUCAUUGGGCGUAAAGGGCGUGUAGGCGGUUUGUUAAGUCAUGUGUGAAAUCCCUCGGCUCAACCGGGGAACGACGCAUGAAACUGGCAAGCUAGAGUACCAAAGAGGGGGGGUGGAAUUCCCGGUGUAGCGGUGAAAUUCAUAGAUAUUGGGAAGAACACCGGUGGCGAAGGCGGCGCUCUGGACCGAGACUGACGCUGAGGCGCGAAAGCGUGGGGAGCAAACAGG
rnacentral:rRNA from 1 species